rnacentral:rRNA from 1 species
GAUGAACGCUGGUGGCGUGCCUAAUACAUGCAAGUCGAGCGAACAGACGAGGAGCUUGCUCCUCUGACGUUAGCGGCGGACGGGUGAGUAACACGUGGAUAACCUACCUAUAAGACUGGGAUAACUUCGGGAAACCGGAGCUAAUACCGGAUAAUAUAUUGAACCGCAUGGUUCAAUAGUGAAAGACGGUUUUGCUGUCACUUAUAGAUGGAUCCGCGCCGCAUUAGCUAGUUGGUAAGUUAACGGCUUACCAAGGCGACGAUGCGUAGACGACCUGAGAGGGUGAUCGGCCACACUGGAGCGGAGACACGGUCCAGACUACUACGGGAGGCAGCAGUAGGGAACCUGCCGCAAUGGGCGAAAGCCUGACGGAGCAACGCCGCGUGAGUGAUGAAGGUCUUCGGAUCGUAAAACUCUGUUAUGAGGGAAGAACAAAUGUGUAAGUAACUAUGCACGUCUUGACGGUACCUAAUCAGAAAGCCACGGCUAACUACGUG